rnacentral:rRNA from 1 species
GACGAACGCUGGCGGCGUGCUUAACACAUGCAAGUCGAACGGCAAGGCCCUGCUUUUGUGGGGUGCUCGAGUGGCGAACGGGUGAGUAACACGUGAGUAACCUGCCCUUGACUUUGGGAUAACUUCAGGAAACUGGGGCUAAUACCGGAUAGGAGCUCCUGCUGCAUGGUGGGGGUUGGAAAGUUUCGGCGGUUGGGGAUGGACUCGCGGCUUAUCAGCUUGUUGGUGGGGUAGUGGCUUACCAAGGCUUUGACGGGUAGCCGGCCUGGGAGGGUGACCGGCCACAUUGGGACUGAGAUACGGCCCAGACUCCUACGGGGGGCAGCGGUGGGGAGUAUUGCACAAUGGGCGGAAGCCUGAUGCAGCAACGCCGCGUGCGGGAUGACGGCCUUCGGGGUGUAAACCGCUUUCGCCUGUGACGAAGUGGGAGUGACGGUAAUGGGUAAAGAAGCACCGGCUAACUACGUG